UCAAGGAGUCUGAACUAUUUGAAGUGAUGG
rnacentral:piRNA from 1 species